UACGUAGGUGGCAAGCGUUGUCCGGAAUUAUUGGGCGUAAAGCGCGCGCAGGUGGUUUCUUAAGUCUGAUGUGAAAGCCCACGGCUCAACCGUGGAGGGUCAUUGGAAACUGGGGAACUUGAGUGCAGGAGAGAAGAGUGGAAUUCCACGUGUAGCGGUGAGAUGCGUAGAGAUGUGGAGGAACACCAGUGGCGAAGGCGACUCUUUGGCCUGUAACUGACACUGAGGCGCGAAAGCGUGGGGAGCAAACAGG
rnacentral:rRNA from 1 species